CCUACGGGAGGCAGCAGUGGGGAAUCUUGCACAAUGGGGGAAACCCUGAUGCAGCGACGCCGCGUGAGUGAAGAAGUAUCUCGGUAUGUAAAGCUCUAUCAGCAGGGAAGAAAAUGACGGUACCUGACUAAGAAGCCCCGGCUAACUACGUGCCAGCAGCCGCGGUAAUACUUAGGGGGCAAGGGUUAUCCUGAUUUACUGGGGGUAAAGGGAGCGUAGACGGUGCAGAAAUUCUGAGGGGAAAGGUCGGGGCACAACCCGGGACUGCAGUGGAAACUGGUUGACUGGAGUACAGGAGAGGGAAGCGGAAUUCCUGGUGUAGCGGUGAAAUGCGUAGAUAUUAGGAGGAACACCAGUGGCGAAGGCGGCUUACUGGACUGUAACUGACGUUGAGGCUCGAAAGCGUGGGGAGCAAACAGGAUUAGAUACCCGGGUAGUC
rnacentral:rRNA from 1 species